rnacentral:misc_RNA from 1 species
CUUAUUCGAUCUAGCAGUCGAUCACGGAACGCUUAGGUGUGCGUUUAUAGCAUUAUUUUAACAUUAAAAUUGCAAAAGUGAUAGAGAAGUUAUUGUAUGUCGUGAUACACGUGGAUCCAAACAAAUUUUCCAAAAGAAUCGUACAUUAUAAUAUCUGUAUCAUUUAAAAAAAAAAAAAAUAAUAUAAAAAGAAUACUAAAAAUAUCGAAAACGUGAAAAUAAUAAUUUUUUUAUAAGCAUAGAGUAGUAUAUAAAUUGUAAGUUCAUACUUUUUUUUCGUUAUUCAUAAGAAUACAGUUACAUAGAAAACACGUUUCCUUCACCAGAAGAAAUAUGUCGUACUUCGAAAUGAAACUGGCUGUUUUUUUGCUCGUGUGUGGAAUUGUUUUCAGUCAAAGUGAUAAUAGAAAGAUCGAUAAUUCAGAAAGGAUCGUUUUCCCUGAACAUACUGACCAAGAUGCGAUCGGUAAUGUAAAAAGAUCCACAGUACCUUCGGAAUUAGAUGACAACUUAUUAAUGACUUCAUUAGAAAUUGCUCAAAAAAUAAAUUCGAUGUCAACGUACGAAGAAUUUCUCAAAUUUAUCAAUGUGCCUCCAGAAAAAAAAGUUCUAAUAGCUAGUAGAAUCGGAGGUGGCGGAGAAAAAUCGAACGCCGAACGACCAAAGCCAGCUGGUUGUAUACCGGAAAAUCAAACGGUAUCUUUGAGACCAGAAAAUAAAUUUUCAACAUUUUAUUAUCCUUCUUGUACAAGAGUUAAAAGAUGCGGUGGAUGUUGUGGACAUUAUCUACUCAGUUGUCAACCAAUUGAAACUGAAACUCGAAAUUUUGAGGUAAUAGUUUCGGAACUCAAUGCGGAUUCAACAGUGUCAUAUAAGAAUAAAGAAAUUAUCCCGAUUGAGGAACACACGAAAUGCAAAUGUGAUUGCAAAAUUAAGGCACAGCAUUGCAACAAGAAACAAGCCUACAGAAGAAACGAAUGUAGCUGCGUUUGUAUGAACAUCGACGAAGAAAACAAAUGCAAGGCAAAUAAAGCCGUUAAAAUCUGGGACAGUGAAACCUGUACGUGUGCUUGCAGAGAGAAUGAAAUAUGUUCAACAGGCUUUUAUUUCGACAACAAUACGUGCAGGUGUGAACAUCAAAAUUAAAAGGAAACUGUACUAAAAGGAAAAAUUCUACACUAUUAAACGUCUAUUCUUCUCUCUAUUAUUAUCUUGUGUCGACAAGUUCCAAUAUUAUCAAGGUUUGGUGAUAUAUCGAGAAAGUCCGGAUACAGGUUCGACCAAACUGAAAGGCCUGAGAG